rnacentral:rRNA from 1 species
UAGGGAAUCUUCGGCAAUGGACGGAAGUCUGACCGAGCAACGCCGCGUGAGUGAAGAAGGUUUUCGGAUCGUAAAGCUCUGUUGUAAGAGAAGAACGAGUGUGAGAGUGGAAAGUUCACACUGUGACGGUAUCUUACCAGAAAGGGACGGCUAACUACGUGCCAGCAGCCGCGGUAAUACGUAGGUCCCGAGCGUUGUCCGGAUUUAUUGGGCGUAAAGCGAGCGCAGGCGGUUAGAUAAGUCUGAAGUUAAAGGCUGUGGCUUAACCAUAGUACGCUUUGGAAACUGUUUAACUUGAGUGCAAGAGGGGAGAGUGGAAUUCCAUGUGUAGCGGUGAAAUGCGUAGAUAUAUGGAGGAACACCGGCGGCGAAAGCGGCUCUCUGGCUUGUAACUGACGCUGAGGCUCGAAAGCGUGGGGAGCAAACAGGAUUAGAUACCCUGGUAGUCCACGCCGUAAACGAUGAGUGCUAGGUGUUAGACCCUUUCCGGGGUUUAGUGCCGCAGCUAACGCAUUAAGCACUCCGCCUGGGGAGUACGACCGCAAGGUUG